AGAGUUUGAUCAUGGCUCAGAAUCAACGCUGGCGGCGCGCUUAACACAUGCAAGUCGAACGAGAAAGCAGGAGCAAUCCUGUGAGUACAGUGGCGUACGGGUGAGUAACACGUGGAUUAUCUGCCCUGGAGUGGGGAAUAACGCUGGGAAACCGGCGCUAAUACCGCAUAUUCCCGAGAGGGGAAAGCAGCAAUGCGCUCGAGGAGGAGUCCGCGGCUGAUUAGCUAGUUGGUAGGGUAACGGCCUACCAAGGCUAUGAUCGGUAGCCGGCCUGAGAGGGCACACGGCCACACUGGCACUGAAACACGGGCCAGACUCCUACGGGAGGCAGCAGUGGGGAAUCUUGCACAAUGGGGGCAACCCUGAUGCAGCGACGCCGCGUGAGCGAUGAAGCCCUUCGGGGUGUAAAGCUCUUUCGGCAGGGAAGAUGAUGACGGUACCUGCAGAAGCAGCUGCGGCUAACUACGUGCCAGCAGCCGCGGUAAUACGUAGGCAGCAAGCGUUGUUCGGAGUUACUGGGCGUAAAGGGUGUGUAGGCGGCCUUCUAAGUUUGGUGUGAAAUCUCCCGGCUCAACCGGGAGGGUGCGCCGAAGACUGGGGGGCUAGAGUGCGGGAUGGGAGAGUAGAAUUCCUGGUGUAGCGGUGAAAUGCGUAGAUAUCAGGAGGAAUACCUGUGGUGUAGACGGCUCUCUGGACCGCAACUGACGCUGAGACACGAAAGCGUGGGUAGCAAACAGGAUUAGAUACCCUAGUAGUCC
rnacentral:rRNA from 1 species